rnacentral:rRNA from 1 species
GUCCACGCCCUAAACGAUGCGAACUGGAUGUUGGGCUCAACUUGGAGCUCAGUAUCGAAGCUAACGCGUUAAGUUCGCCGCCUGGGGAGUACGGUCGCAAAGACUGAAACUCAAAAGGAAUUGACGGGGGCCCGCACAAGCGGUGGAGUAUGUGGUUUAAUUCGAUGCAACGCGAAGAACCUUACCUGGUCUUGACAUCCACGGAACUUUCCAGAGAUGGAUUGGUGCCUUCGGGAGCCGUGAGACAGGUGCUGCAUGGCUGUCGU